GCACCGGUCGUGUUUGGAACACGCCGCCAUUCUGUAGAGUUUUCGCGUGAUCCGUUCUUGGCGGAGCUGGGGUUCGAUUCCCCGCUGGUGCA